AUAGCACCAUCAAGAGAAUCUGGAAGAUGAUACCUGCAGGCAUUUUUGGAGUAUCUGGAACGAAAGGAAUAGAAGAUGCUUUGAUGGAAUAUCAACUACCUACCAAUCUUUAAGAGCUAAUUGCCUCAUGUUUAGUGAAGCAAAUGAUUAAUGACAGAUUAAAGCUGGGAAGACGUUACUUUUAAUGACAUAUACUAAUGACAAAUAAACUUUGUACUGAAGAAUACGUUCUAAAGCUUAAACUGGAGAAAACUUUAGAGCCUAAUACGGUCUGAAAUUUUCAACACAGAGGGAUUUUCAGUGUAGCGGAGGGGGUUUGGAGAAGAAAGCGGAUUGUGUUCAUCGCUGGUUUUCAACGCAGAGAAGGAAUUUUCAACCUUUGUGGAAUUUAGCUCAGUCCGUCAAUGGAAUGAAUUAUAGAGAGUUCAAACUUGUCCAGUCCUUCUCUCACUGGAGAGUCCAAAAUAGCCUGCCAGAGAGUCCAAAAUUGCUGAUUUCUUCACUCAGAGUUCUAAUUUAUCAGAUUCCAAAAUUGCUGUUCCAGGUACUUCUAUUAGAUCAAUUGAAGAGCAGCAACUAUUCAUCCAAUUCAUUGGCCAGCUAUCUAUAGCAAAAAUCAAGGAGUUCCUCUUUUGUGUUGUUGUUCAGAUCACGAUAUAUGAUCCAUUUAUCACAUUACUACGAAUUGAUCUAUUUAUCAUCUGGGGAAGAUAAUACCGUUGAUUCUUUUUGACACCUGCCACUUCAAUUGGUAUUAUUCACAAAAAAAGAGACAUGAGAUAAGAAAUUCAAGUACAAUAGGCGUCUUCAUGUUUCCUUUUGAGACUGAUUGCACGACGUCAAUUUUAUUCCAUAUAUUCGAUCUUAAGAUAAGAGCCAAUUAUUACUAGAUCAAAAUCUGAUGCUGUACUACUGUUGCUGCAACUGUGUGCUGCUUUCACAUUUCUGCAUUGUGUUUAAGAGAUGAAACAAUGAGGUGUUUGUGUUGAAUGUGAUUGGGUAAGUUCAGUUUCAUUUUGGCAUUAUUGGUGUAACUUUGUUUUGGAUACGUGCAUACUUAUUCAACAUACUUUUACGUUAAUGUUGCUAUGGUCUAUGUUUUCCUUUUUGCAACUUUACCAUGUGUGACUGCAAAAAGUCUGCCACAUUAAAAUGUAAAA